AGAGCGGUGGCCUUAACACCUGUGUUGUCCUUGUGCUGUCAUGCUCAGGCCGGAGUUGCUCCAACAAUCCCGUCUGGAGGUCCCCACUUCCUUAGGCGUAUCUCGGAGGGCUAUUUUCAACCCCUUUGCUGCUUGUUAACAGCCCGUCUGGGGCUGUCAAAGUUUUCUCAGAAGUUUGGAGUUCGUGCCCUGCUCUCAGCCUACUACACGGAGAGGAACUGUUCAGAGGCCAGAAGAUGCAGAGCUCUGCCCGAGAGAUCUUUUGACAAACUCAUGACUAGCAUUUUAUACCUUUGAGUCCCGGAGGCUGCUAAAGGAGCCUCAAGCAGGUCCUAGAGAGGCCUGGCCUGCUCUUUGGUGCCAGCUUCCUUCUUGCCUGUCGAGUUCUCAGUAGCUGCCAGCUGAUCCCACCGCACCCCACCCCGGCACAGAGGCCCUGUGCUCAUGAUGUCUAAAGGGAUUGCCUAUAUUUAACUGCCUCAGUCACCCAACCUCUUUCUUCUCAUGUGCCAGAUGUUAAAGACAGAGGAGGAAGAGUGCAAUAGUACUCAAGCCUCAGCUGUUGAAAUGUUUUUAUUGGGGCUCACUGUUCUGGGUUAUUAUUUAUUACUAGACUGGCAAAGCCUAACCCCUUAGGUUUUUACAGGAAGUAUGCAUAUUUUUAUAUAAAAACAGUUGUGUCUAACCCACAUUUGGCUGUGUUUGUUGCCUCAAAAAAAAAAAAAUUGCAGCUGUUAGAACUUUUCCUCAUUUGUCUCUUACGUUAAAGGCCUUGCUGGAGAGGAUGGAGCACAGAACAGCCUUGACAGUCUGUAAUUAGUGUACAAAUAUUUUAAUAGCAUAAAGUAAGUAUAUUCCUUUUAUUUUGAAACAAAAUGGUCAGACACUGCCUUUCAUGUGUUUGUUGCCUGUGGCACUCUUUUUAAAAAAGACUGUUACAUAUUAAAAUAGUGUACAUAUAUAUAUAUAUAUAAAUAUAAAUAUUACCUCUUUGUGUACAGUUGUGAUAGACCAGACUGAAAAUUUUAUUUUUUGUGUGCUUUUUAU
rnacentral:lncRNA from 1 species